GCUCCCAUCUGCACUGUCCCAUCCGGCACUGCCAAGUCAGAUACAGCGCGGAACAGACACAGAGCCAGCAAGAGAGAGAGCGAGAGAAAGAACACUUGGAUUGUGUCAGCCUGUCAGAGGAUGGGAAAGGAAUAUUGGCUUGGCCUUUUUUUAAAAUUUCGAAAUUAAACUAUCCGCCGAGCCGGUGAGGUGGGAGCAGGUGAAGAGGAGGGUCUUCAGUCGUGUUCUAGAGGAGAAAGAGGAGGCAAGGCGGAGGGAUUGAUCACUGAGCGAUUCGCUGGAGGCAGAUUUGUCAAUUGGACACCCAAAGUCUGGAGGCACAAAGUCUGGUGUUUCCCUUCUCCACGGUUACAGGGCACGUUCCAUGCUGAUGCUAUCAGCUGAAUUAAUAUGAACUACAACGAACACACCUCUAGCACCCGUCCUAGGAUGUUACUGGGUGUUGGUUCUCAAAACUAGGCCUACCUGACGCCUGUAACUGUGUGUGAAACUCCACCUCGAGAGAAGGCUACUGUGCUCUGACAUAGCUCAGAUCCAUCACCUGGGAACCUGAUCAAACCGUGUCUGGGAGUCGAACGUACUUGGGGCUGGUGGUGGGGGAGAAUCUGGAGACUGGAGACAAUAAUAAAGAUGUUUUGCCCACAAAA